UCGAGGCUCCCUACGCAGCGUCGCUUAUCUCGUUUUCUCGUAUACGAGCGUGACGUCAUGCUGCAAGUUGCACGGGAGUAACUGAGCGAGGAAAGGGGACCAGAGGGGAGCAGUUACGUGGGGAUAUAGACGAGCAAAUGUGCGCGCGCGCACCAGAAAGCCGCAGCGUCGAUGGAUUUGCUGUUACCUGCAUGGAGUGGCUGCAUGCAGAAUACACACGAGGUGACAUCGUCGUAUUGCAAAGGCGACGGCGGGGCAAUGCCACGAAUUGUGGCCCACGACGGAGACGAUGGUCUAUGCGCAUAUUGUGCUGGACGGUUAAUGGCGUGAUGGCGUGACAUCGGUGCACAUUGCACACGCACACUGCGAAUGGGGUGAACGGAAUGGAACGGAACGGAACGGAACGGAACAGAACAGGAUGGAACGGGAUGGAAUAGAAUGGAAUGGAACGGAACAAAACGAAACGAAAGACCGGAACGCGAUGUCGCGUGUCCUAUGUUGCAUUCGCGUGUGUCGCAAAUAUUACACGCGAUUCUUCAACUAAAUGCUUUAGUGCACGAAUAUAUUCGUACAUCGUUUUGCUUCUUCGUUUUCUUUCUAAAGUUUAAGUCUUUAACUCUCACAAUCGCUAUAUGUGAUUAUUACUUUAUGCUAUAUUACGCAAGAUUAGACGAAUUUAUUAUACAUAAAGGCUAUACAAAGGCUAUAAAUCUCGGAAAAAGAAUGUACAAUUAUUUUUUUGAUGUAUUGCAUUUUAUCUUAUAUAUAUUGAUUAAUAUAAAUAUUUAUGUACGAAGAAAA